ensembl:lncRNA
UGUUAAUAUAUUGCCUAUAUUGAACCAUCUUUGCAAUCCUGGAACACUCCACUUGGCUGUGGUUUACUAUUCUGUAAAUACGCUGUCAGAAUCUCGCUGCCCCUGUUCAGGAUGUUUAUAUCAACGUUCCUAGGUUAGGGUGAUCUGUAGAUUAUUUUUGUGCUGUCUUUAUCUGGUUUUGGUAACAAUGGUGUGAAACCCAAAUAUCUUCACAGUCUCUGCAAUGGCAGCUCCCCCGGCCCACCAACUCCUAACUCCCUGGUUUGAUAAAGGAACGUCCGUGGGGGGCAGGUGUGACUUCUUUAGUGGUCAGAACAGGAUAUUAACCACAUAUAAAGUAAUUUACAUAUUCUUGUAAUUUGCCAAUCUCUGAAUUCACUAUCCUUUUGAUGUGGGCUCGGCGAGUCAAGGAGUCGAAAGAAAGAUUUCUUGGACUCUCAAGGUCUGGCAGUAGUGCUCCUUUAUUCAGAGAAUAGCAUGGGGACAGGACCCAGGGGCAGUAAGAGCUGCAUGCAUGGGGACAGGACCCAGGGGCAGUAAGAGCUGCAUGCAUGGGGACAGGACCCAGGGGCAGUAAGAGCUGCAUGCAUGGGGACAGGACCCAGGGGCAGUAAGAGCUGCAGGCAUGGGGACAGGACCCAGGGGCAGUAAGAGCUGCAUGCAUGGGGACAGGACCCACGGGCAGUAAGAGCUGCAGGCAUGGGGACAGGGCCCAUGAGCAGUGAGGGGCUGCAAUGUGUUGAGGGUUAGGGCUAAAUUUAUAAGGCUUGGGUACAUGACUUAUUUUUACCAGACAAAGGAAAGAUGAUGUAAAAAGUCAUUAAAUGGAAUCAGUGCAGGUGGGGUCUGGUUAUUGUGUGGUCGUAUAACUUUAGAUAUGUAUUGGGUCGUAUAGAUCAGCAUGUAGGACAGGACACCGUGGGCUUCUCUACCUGGGGCAGCCUUGAUCCACAUCACUUUCACAAACAUUUUUGCCAACACAUUGCUUCCACUUUCUUCUGGAGGGAGAGAAUAGUAAUAAACCCACAUGAGGCCCAAAAUGUUCCAUCCUUGCUUAGCAAUAGUCAUUGGCCUUGGGGUCGGAGAAUGCUGGGUCGUGCAUCUGGCAAAGGAACUGUCUGAUUUGCUCUCUAAAUGUGUACGUGGGGAUUGUGCAAACCAACCCCCUCACUGAACACGCUUACCACCCUCUAGCUCAGCCCAUGCCUUCUCCAAGCACGGCUUUCCCCUGGGUGUUAGCAGCCCAGCAGGAAGAGAAACACUCCUAGUGGGGAAGUGGGCUCAUCAACUGUUGGCAGCAACGGAGACUUCGAGCAAGAUGCAAACUGAGAGCGUGGGACCCACACGCUCUGCACGCUCAGUCCAGGCUGCUUCUAAGAACAAACAUGAUCUAAGGCCUUCAGGCCAGCAUUCAGAGCCAUCUCAUCUCCAGAAGAGCAGGAAGUUUCUCUGCAUCUCUGGACACUCGUGGAUGCUACAGUCCCGAUUCCACCCACCAGCUCACCCUGCCAAAAGAAUGGACCGCCCAGUGUAAGACCCCAUCCUCCUGGAGAUGCCAACAGGCAGAGGAAGAGAAGCCAUCCAAACCCGCUCUUUCUGAUGGAUUCGCCAACCCUGUUUAUUUACAUGGAACAGCAAGAGGUCAAUGAGAGAAGCCACAGGUCUGGGACUCCGAUUUCUCAAACUCACGUGCUGGAAUUUGCAUGUUUAUUCCAAACCCACACUCCUUCUGGCCUUCUUCCCCUUUGACUGCACUCUCAUCUCCACCCUCCACGUUGCAAGGUCUUUUGCAUCAGCCUGGGUGGGUCCCAGAGCUGAUUUCUCCCUUGCCCAGCUCAGUGUGUCCAUCUCCCUCCUUGUGGCCUGUGCCCUUAUAGGGUGGCAUGUGGUGUGGGGUCAGUCCUAAUGUCUGUUUUGGUUUCCAUGCUCUCUUGCCUUUGUAGUAGAUUGCUUUGGCCAUUCUCCUUCCGUGAUCCAAAGGAUGCAAAGUAUCCAACAUUAAUUUUCUGCUGUAUCUUAAGUCAGUGUUCAAAUGAGCUGAGCUUUCCUUCCACUGUGCAUUGCUGUUUUGUUCUGGUUGGGGGGCAGGCCUAUUUUAUUUAAAAUGGUGCAUUCAUUUUAAAAUACGAGUUGAAUUUGACUAUACUAAUAUAGUUAAUGGUCAGUUUUUUAAUCAAUAUUUUCCUCACUGAUAGAUUCACCCUGACUGAAUCCUCAGGCUGGUGACGGGGAGGAAAGCCCUUUUAUAACAAGAUCCUGAGCCAACGUCAUGGGGCCAGCCAGCUUGGGAGGAUUUUGACCAAAGGCCUGGACUUCUCAAUUUAUGAAAUCAGACCAGGAGCUUGGGUUCAUUCCAAGUUCUCCUCCGCCCGUGACCUUGGCCUUCUUUCUGUGGCUAUCCAACUAGACAGUCCCUUGGCCCUCCCCCAACAGAAAAUUGGCAUCAUGCAAAGC